rnacentral:tRNA from 1 species
CAGAAAAUAGUUUAAUUUAAGAAUGUCAGCUUUGGGAGUUGGUGGUGAAGGUUUGAAUCCUCUUUAUCUGA